AGUGAACGCUGGCGGUAGGCCUAACACAUGCAAGUCGAACGGCAGCACAGUAAGUUCUUGCUCUUACGGGUGGCGAGUGGCGGACGGGUGAGGUAUAUAUCGGAAUCUACUUUUUCGUGGGGGAUAACGUAGGGAAACUUACGAUCAUACCGCAUACGACGUUCGGGGGAAAGCAGGGGAUCUUCGGACCUUGCGCGGUUGAAUGAGCGGGGGUCGGUUUGGCUAGUUGGCGGGGUAAAGGCCCACCAAGGCGACGAUCCGUAGCUGGUCUGAGAGGAUGGUCGCCGACACUUGAACGGGAACACGGUCCAGACGCCUACGGGAGGCACCAGGGGGGAAUGUGGGACAAUGGGCGCAAGCCUGGCCCAGCGAUACCGCGUGGGUGAAGAAGGCCUUCGGGUUGUAAAGCCGUUUUGUUGGGAAAGAAAAGCAGCAGGUUAAUACCCCGCUGUUCUGACGGUACCCAAAGAAUAAGCACCGGCUAACUUCGUG
rnacentral:rRNA from 1 species